CGGCAGUUGUAAAUGAUGCCGGCAAGAUUCUGUGGUGUGCCUCCCUUCCCGACGGGACCUCCACUCAGCGAGCUGAACUGGUCACCCUGACUAUGGCCCUGCACUUGGCUAAGGGAAAACAGUUGAUAGUCUACACUGACAGCCGAUACCCCUUUGCCACCCUGCACGUUCACGCCCCAAUUUACCGGGAAUGAGGAUACGUCACCUAAGCGGACUAUGGGCCAGCUUCUCUCUACCCACCUGCAUCAUCUUACCCACAUGGGGGCCACCAAGUUGCGAAUGCUAGUCCGGAAAGAGCAGGUUCAAUUCCAGGGCUCUAGCAGUUUUCUAAAUGAAUUAGUUCAGAAGUGCAAGACUUGCCAGCUGACCCGGGCUGCGAAAGAAGACACCCACCUCGGAACCAGGCUUUGCGGUACUCACCCCUGUGAACACUGGGAGGUUGAUUUCACUGACGUCAAGCUGGGAAACUACAACAGGAUCUUUGGUCCCACUUGUAAGCGCAGUUCCAGCCUCUUCCUCACACUCUACAUUCCUUUAAACCCAGGGAUUGGGUCUGGGUCAAGAGACACCAGAAGCGGGCACUCCAGCCCCACUGGAAAGGGUUGUUUGUUGUCCUUUUUGUAACUCCUUCUGCCCUAAAGGUUGAAGGGAUCGGCCCUUGGAUCCAUCACUCCCAUGUCCAACCUGAGAACCCCCUUGACCCCAGCGGUGUUGCCUAAACUAUUCACAGCCGGUCUGACAACCCCUUGAAGAUCCAUCUGACCUGCGACAUUUUGGCCGUAUCUUGGGCUCUGCUUCACUUCCACCCUGCUACAGACCCUAGCCGUCGGAUAUCAGCCCCACAGUGCCUCCUUUUGCCAACCCUCACUGACCCUGGAAAUGGAGGCUAUCCAGCUGAGAUUCAUCAUCUAUUCUCUCUACUCAGACUACAUUGGGAGCGCCCUCCCUAAUGGCCCACACUUGUGACCUGAUAUGGGGUCCCCAAGCCCAAUGAAACCUCAGUAAACCCUGCAGAAAUGUUGGGAUUUUUUACUUUUGCCCCUCCUCAAACCCUGGAAAAUCCUACUGUAAUUCCCCCAGCUCCUACUUUUGUGCCUCCUGGGGCUGUGAAACAUUUGCCACAGGGGGGAAUAGGAUUGAGGGGUGCUCCCGGUGGAAACCAGUCCCCAAUGACCAGUGGUUAACUGUGAAAUGGCAUUGGUGUGAAUUGCUCACACCAAUGCCACAUUUAGAUGAUCAGGAAGGGACCACAUGUGACGCUAUGGUCUUCAUGCCACAACAACCUAUACAUGAGUCCUGGG
rnacentral:lncRNA from 1 species